rnacentral:rRNA from 1 species
UUUGGGGCCCCCUUUUUUUCCNGGCACCCCNAACGGUAGCAGGUAAGUACUUGUUCUUAUGCUGACGAGUGNCGGACGGGUGAGUAAUGCUUGGGGAUCUGGCUUAUGGAGGGGGAUAACGACGGGAAACUGUCGCUAAUACCGCGUAGAAUCGGGAGAUGAAAGUGUGGGACCUUCGGGCCACAUGCCAUAGGAUGAGCCCAAGUGGGAUUAGGUAGUUGGUGGGGUAAUGGCCUACCAAGCCGACGAUCUCUAGCUGGUCUGAGAGGAUGACCAGCCACACCGGGACUGAGACACGGCCCGGACUCCUACGGGAGGCAGCAGUGGGGAAUAUUGCGCAAUGGGGGCANCCCUGACGCAGCCAUGCCNCGUGAAUGANGANGGCCNUCGGGUUGUAAAGUUCUUUCCNGUGACCNNGGANGGUUUGUUC